rnacentral:lncRNA from 1 species
GCCUCUUUUCUGCCUAGAACAACAGAGCGAGUGCCGUUGAAGCAACUAGAGCUAGGUGAGAGUCACCUGAGUGACUCCUUUCAGUAUGCAAAAUAAGCUGAGGCAACUUCUGCAUAAAGAUGGGAGAAUGAAGUUGAGUCACACACUUUGUCCACCAAUAUCUAAGUAACACUCUCUCUAUUUUUUGUUUUCUUUCUUGUCCUUUUCUUUCUCCCUUUCUUUUCUCUUCUUUUCGUUUUUUUGCUAGCAAAGUUUUGUCAGUAACAACCGAGUUAGGAAAGGGACAGAGAUAAACCAGAAGGUGAUGACCACUGUACAAGUAGAAGCUGCUGCUGAAGCUUAGUGUGGGUCUACUUGUAUUUCCCAAUAACAAUUCUUAAAAAUUAAAAAUAAAUCAUUAGAAUUCUCACAAAUAAUUCCAAAUUUAGAAAGAAGUGGAACUGAGAGUAUAUCCUUAUAUUUUUCCCACGCUUUUAUCUAGGGAAGUAGAAAUACCUGCUAUAUAGGGAUGGAUAUAAAGAGAAAUCAACAACCACAUCCUGGGCUACCUCUCAGUGGUCUAUGCUUGGGCUCCAGGACCCUACAUUGCAUUGGGGAAAUGGCAGUGGUAGUUUCCAUGACAAUGGGAUUGUGAGUCUGGCUAGUAUCAGAGAGUAUAUUAAAAGAAGAUGACUUAAAUAUUCAAAAUUCCAUCAGAGCAAAUGCUUUUAGCCUCUAGGCCAUACUGCUUCAUCUCAGGUUCCCUGGCCAUGGUAACUGUCUCAGGGAUGGACCCCUGGGUGGAUCAGAAUCCUUAUCUGGGUUUUUUUCUGCUGCACCUAGCGGGGAAAACUUAUAUUUUUGAAAGAAAGGACCAUUAUCCCUGAACACAAAUGAUGUCUGAGUGUUUAAGAAAAGAAUAAAGAGAGAAAAGUACUUUUCAUUUUUUAAUUUGUUUUUUUUUUUUUUUUUUUUUGUCUUUUGUCUUUUUGUUGUUGUUGUUGUUGUUGCUAUUUCUUGGGCCGCUCCCGCGGCAUAUGGAGGUUCCCAGGCUAGGGGUUGAAUGGGAGCUGUAGCCACCGGCCUACGCCAGAGCCACAGCAAUGUGGGAUCCGAACCGCAUCUGUGACCUACACCACAGGUCACAGCAACGCCGGAUCGUUAACCCACCCGAACCCGCAACCUCAUGGUUCCUAGUCGGAUUCGUUAACCACUGCGCCACGACGGGAACUCCUAAUUUGUAUUUUUUAAUUGAAGCAUAGUUGAUUUACAAUGUUGUGUUAAUUUCUGCUCUACAGCAAAAUGAUUCAUAUAUAUAUAUAUAUAUAUACACACACACACACACACACACAUACAUUCUUUUUUAAAAUAUUCUUUUCUAGUAUGGUUUAUCAUAGGGCACUGAAUAUAAUUCUCUGUGCUGUACAGUAGGACUUUGCUUUUUGUCCCUUCCAUGCAUAUAAUAGCUCACUUAUGCUGCUAAUCCCAACCUCCCAACAACCCCCACCACCCCCUACCCCCCACUCCUGGCAACCACAAAUCUGUUCUCCUUGUCUUUGAGUCUGUUUCUGUUUUGUAGAUUGGUUCAUUUAUGAUAUAUUUUUUAUAAUGAUGUUUAUUUUUUCCAUUAUAGCUGGUUCUAUCAAUUAUGUAUGACAUAUUUUAGAUUCCAUGUUUAAAUGAUAGAAUAUGGUGUUUGUCUUUUUUUUUUUUUUUUUUUUUGUCUUUUUGCUAUUUCUUGGGCCGCUCCCGCGGCAUAUGGAGGUUCCCAGGCUAGGGGUCGAAUCGGAGCUGUAGCCACCAGCCUACACCAGAGCUACAGCAACUCCGGAUCUGAGCCGCGUCUGCGACCUACACAGCUCACAGCAAUGCUGGAUCCUUAAACCAUUGAGCAAGGCCAGGGAUCGAACCUGCAACCCCAUGGUUCCUAGUCAGAUUCGUUAACCACUGUGCCAUGACAGGAACUCCAUAAUUUUUUUUUUUUUUUUACUGUUUGUCUUUUGACUUAUUUCACUUAGUAUAAUCUCUAGAUCCAUCCAUAUUGCUGCAAAUGGAGUUAUUUCAUUCUUUUUUAUGACUGUGUUGUAUUCCAUUAUGUAUAUGAACCACAUUUUCUGUAUCUAUUCAUCGGUCGAUAGACAGAUGAACCUAAAAGCUGUUUCCGUGUCUUGGCCAUUGUGAAUAAUGCUGUUAUGAACAUAGGGGUGCAUGUAUAUUUUUGAAUUAUUGUUUGUCUGGAUAUAUGCCCAGAAGUGGGAUUGCUUGGAUCAUAUGGUAACUCUAUCCCUAGUUUUCUAAGGAAAGUCUGUGCUGUUUUCCAUAGUGGCUGUACCAACUUACAUUACCACCAAAAGUGUAGGAUGGUUCCCUUUUCUCUGCACCCUUUCCAGGAUUUGUUAGUUAUAGACUUUUUAAUGAUGCCCAUUCUGACCUGUGUGAGAUGAUACGUCAUUGCAGUUUUGAUUUCCUUUCCCUAAUAAUUAGUGGUAUUAAGCAUCUUUUCAUGUACCUAUUGGUCAUUUGCAUUUCUUUGGAGAAAUGUCUACUUAGGGUCUUCUACCCAUUUUUUGAUUUUGGUUGUUGUUGAGUUGUACGAGCUAUUGGUAUAUUUUGAAGAUUAAGCCCUUUUCAGUCUCUUCAUUUGCAAAUACUUUCCCCCAUUCUGUAGGUUGACUUUUUGUUUUAUUUAUGGUUUCCCUAGCUGUGCAAAACUUGUAAGUUUGAUUAAUUCCCAUUUUUUAAUUUUUGUUUGUAUUUCUAUUGCUUUGGGAGACUAACUAAAGAAAACAUUGGUACAACUUAUGUCAGAGAAUGUUUUGCCUGUGAUCCCUUCUAGGAUUUUUAUGGUGUCAUGUCUUACGUUUAAGUCUUUAAGCCAUUUUGAGUUUAUUUUUGUGUGUGGUGUGAGGGUGUGUUGUAACUUCAUUGAUUUAUAUGCAGCUGUCCAACUUUCCCAAACCACUUGCUGAGGAAAUUGUUUUUUUCUCACUGUAUAUUCUUGCCUUCUUUGUCAAAUAUUAAUUGACCAUGGGUGUCUGGGUUUCUUUCUGGGCUUUCCAUUCUGGUCCAUUGAUCCAUAUAUCUGUUUUUGUGCCACUAGCAUGCUGUUUUGAUUACUGUAGCUUUGUAGUAUUGUCUGAAAUACGGGAGGGUUAUGACUCCUGCUUUGUUCUUUUUCUUCAGGAUUACUUGGGCAAUUCUGGGUCUUUUAGGGCAUGAUUUCAAUUUAGGAUUAUUUGUUUUAGUUCUGUGAAAAUGUCAUGGGGAAUUUGAUAAGGAUCACCUUAAAUCUGUAGAUUGCUUUGGGUGGUAAGGCCAUUUUAACAAUAUUAAUUCUUAUAAUCCAAGAGCAUUGAAUAUCUUUCCAUUAUUUAAAUCAUUUUAAGUCUCCUUCAUUAAUGUUUUAUAGUUCUCAGCAUAUUAUUCUUUUACCUCCUUGGUUAGGUUUAUUCGCAAGUAUUUUAUUUUGGGGGAGUGUAAUUUUAAAAGAUACUGUUUUUUUCCAUUCAUUUUCUGAUAUUUCAUUAUUAGUGUAAAGAAAUGCAACAGAUUUCUAUAUAUUAAUCUUGUAUCCCGCUACCUUGCAUAAUUUAUUUAUCAGUUUGAGUAGCUUUUGUGCAAAGUUUUUAGGGUUUUCUAUAUAUAGUAUCAUGUCAUCUGCAUGUAAGGACAAUUUUACCUCUUCCCUUCCAAUUUGGGUAUCUUUUUAAGGUUCAUUUUUUUGGGGGGGAGUAAGAGGAUAUCAUGAUAACCUCACUUGAAUCCUUGGUCCAGUUCUGUGUAAUACCCAUCCUACCCAAUUAUUAUGUAGCCAAAAUGUUCCCCACCUACUUCCCCACACCCUCCUUAAAUUUGUUUGAAUUUUAAUUCUGCCUCUGUCACUUCAGAUCACAAGACUAAUACAUGGUAACUUAAAGUCCAACGAGCAUGAGAGUUCCAAUUUUCCUGAAUCUUUGGGGAAUAUUAGCAUGUGAAAUAGAAGAACAUUAGAUAUGAGAGAAAGGCAGAUAUACCAUUCCUGGAAAGUGCUUAGUGCAUAACUCAACAUUACUGAUUUCAAUUGCUGCCUGCAGGAUUUUAAAAAAAAAAUGCAAGUAUAGAUACCAGGUAGAACAUUAAUUCCACAGAAAAACGUAUAAUAGAGCUCUGAGCAAAUAGAAGAAAGCAGAGUUGAGGAACAGAUGAAUUGGUUGUUCUCAUUUUACCUGCUUAUUUUUCCUUUACAUAUAGCAGAGGAAAGAAAAAGAGAAUCUUUUUCAGAGGGAAAUUCAAUAAGUAGCUUUCUAAAAAAAUUUCCUACCUCUGUAGUUAAAAUUGCUAGACAUUCAAAUGACCAUAAUUCCCCUGUGUUCUGGAAGAACAUUGCCAUAAUUUUCAUGCAGAGGUUUUUGAUUAUAGUUCCUGGAUCAAAAGCAUCCAUAGAGAGUUUCAGGUUGUAAAUAGUGCUUUAAUUAAAGCAAAGUAUCUGAACCAAUCAUGGAUUUUUACUAAAUAGAAUUUUUUGCCUUCUGUAUCGCAAAAGCUGGAGGUAGACAAAAGAAAUGCCUUUUUGCUAUAGAUGAUAAAGUCACUUUAACUGUAUUCAUUUCUGAAAAAGAAAACUCAUCUCCAAGUUUGUGUUUUUCAAAAAUGAAAUUGAAAAAUAUACAGGACAGUAUUUUUAACUGUUUCUUUUUUUUUUUUAACCUGGUUCUAACUUUCCACCUUUUGUUAAUGAUGUAUGAUGUGUAACAUGGUACUUUUGUUUGCUUAAUAUUCUUCCUAGAAAGCGUUUAUCCUGGAUAAGCAGGGAGAUAAGAUUUUGAAAGUUUCUCAUAGAAGGGUAGGAAUGGAGACAGGCUGCUCAUUAACUGCAUUAGAUGACUGGCAUUUUACUACUAUAAUGAAAAAAUAAGGAGAAAAUAGCAGGACCAUCCAUUUUGGGUAGGUAAGGCUAAGACUGAUUCCAGCAUUUGAAUCUGAAGUAAUGAUCAGACACCUAUGGUAGAAGAUAGUUGAGGAAAUGGGAUUGGAGCUCAGGAAUGAUUACAGAGCAGUGAUACAAAACCAAGAUAUCCAUUGAAAGUAGAAGGAGAUGACCCUCUGGAAGAGAGGUGGUUUCCAAGGGAGAGUGUGAAGAAAGCAAGGAAUGGAGAACCAAGAACCAAAGCUUAAUGACUACACAUAAUAGUAAUCAGGGGUCAACUAGCCUAAUGCAGUCAGGUGAAUGGGAGAGUCAUUGAGGAAACCUAGCAGAGGCUUUAAGAAGCAUGUUGCUUGGGGGUG